rnacentral:tRNA from 1 species
AAAGCUUUAAGUUAUUUAAACUUACAGCCUUCAAAGUUGUCAAAAGAGGUUAUAAUCCCCUAAGCUUUA